CAAGAAAGACCAAAGAACUGCUA
rnacentral:tRNA from 1 species